rnacentral:rRNA from 1 species
GACGAACGCUGGCGGCGUGCUUAACACAUGCAAGUCGAACGGUAAGGCCCUUCGGGGUACACGAGUGGCGAACGGGUGAGUAACACGUGGGUGAUCUGCCCUGCACUUCGGGAUAAGCCUGGGAAACUGGGUCUAAUACCGGAUAGGACUCCUGGCUUCAUGGUUGGGGGUGGAAAGCUUUUGCGGUGUGGGAUGGGCCCGCGGCCUAUCAGCUUGUUGGUGGGGUAAUGGGCUACCAAGGCGACGACGGGUAGCCGGCCUGGGAGGGUGACCGGCCAAACUGGGACUGAGAUACGGCCCAGACUCCUACGGGAGGCAGCAGUGGGGAAUAUUGCACAAUGGGCGCAAGCCUGAUGCAGCGACGCCGCGUGAGGGAUGACGGCCUUCGGGUUGUAAACCUCUUUCAGCACCGACGAAGCGCAAGUGACGGUAGGUGCAGAAGAAGGACCGGCCAACUACGUGCCAGCCGCCGCGGUAA